ensembl:lncRNA
AGGAACGAGUUUCCCUCUGACCUCCUCUCUGAGGAGGCAGCCACCAGCCUUCACUGCAGCAAACAGGUGGACGUGCUGCGCCCUCGGAGAAGGGCAGCUCUGAGUGACAGUUCGGAGGGUCCCUGGGUGGGAGAGCCGGACCUGGAGUCGUGCAGCCGAGGCGGCUGUGAGCUUGUGUUCCUUGCAGGCGGCCGUGGCGUUCGCACGAGCAGCCUCUUCCCGCCUCGCAAAGCGGAGCCGAGAAGUGCCCCGGGUAGCGUCUACAUCGAGAGAGGGGCUCAACCCCAACCCAUGCCGACCCACCUGCGGGCCUGCAGAUGCAGCUGAUCGGCCUCGGUGGCAGCAGUGUUGGUUGAAGCGGUUUUGGGCAGGGUCCACAGGGAGCGGCGUGCGCACAGGAGGUUCUGGUGUCGGUUGAAGCGGGCGUGUCCUGGUAGACGGGUCUGCGUGGGACGGUCUCUAACUGAAUCGCUUAGCUCCUCGGAGUUUCAGAGCAGCGGGGGGCUGGCUUUAAGGCUCUGAUCAAAUGCCCCGGGACCCGAAGCCCAGCGACGCUGGAUGGCCCGGUCUUCCUGAGGCUACAGAGACUCGGGCUCCCUGCGUGUGGAGGGGGACGGAACCUCUCCUGUGCCCCAGUGGUGUGACUUGUGGCACUUUUCAAGAAUGUGAUUAAAGAACUGUGCUCUGUUGUCGGACGUCUGGGGUUUGUCCUCAGAGGUUCACGGUGAGCCGGUGCCUUUGGGCAGUUGGCCAAAAGGUUCAUGUCGCUCAGAGGAGACAGACGCGUGGGGAGAACCUCCACCUGCACCUCCUCCCCCAGCCUGAACGUGGGGCACCUGUCCCCAGGGGUGUCGUUGGCCUGGUGGGUCAUCCUGCCUGCAGUCAGCCCCCUGGGCCGCCCCUCGUGGCGGAGGUGGGUUCCGUCUGGCAGGGAGCUGUCUCCCAGAGCAGGGUCUUGCCUACGUUUCCCCCCAGGAAGGGGCCACUCCAGGUUCACUGGGCGCCCCUGGCACCCAGACUGUGGUGUCUACACAGCAUUUGCCACUGAAGGCACCAGAGCUCCUGGUCCAGAGGCCAAGUCCAGGUCUAGAAUAGGAAACACGCAAGAUGUUGAGCCCGAUAACAGAAGCCUCUGGAAAUGUCAGCGCCCCAGGGAAAACGUCAGGCUCAAAAGCAACACUUAAAGGGGCGCAGUUUUAAAAAGGGGGGAAUGCAGCGCUUACCCGCCAUUGCUAACGCGCUGUGUUUCAGGGGAACCAAACCACGGCCGACAAGUCAGGAGGAACAACGAAAUGGAAACACCCCCAAAUGAAGUAAGGGCCCAGGCGACGCCAUCGCCAAGGACAGGACAGAGGACGUGACCUCGAGGGUCACGCAGAGAAGCGCCUCCCGACGCGCUGGGACGGGCGUAAGAGGCAGAGCACCAGCCGUCAUGCAGGGCACAGAGUCACACAUGGGCAAGUCCACCAACGCCACCUGCACACAGACACUCGCCAAGAGGUCUUUACAUCCAGCCUCAGGCUCAGGAAACGAGGGGAACGUCUUAAAAAGCAUCACAAGAUACACUCGCUCGAACGCGGAAACUCCUACGGGACAAACGGCUCCCUUUCCUCAAUAAAUAAGGGGGGGAGAAGGGACGGGACGCAGCUUUGGGUGAGGCGGGUCCGGCCACCUUGUCAACGCAGCGCAGUGUGGGACCUUAUCUGGCCCCUGAUUCAAACACACCAGCUGUAACAAGGCACCUCUGAGACUUCAGACGACACUGAACACGGGCUGAGCACGGAGUGGUGUGGUUCUCGUCUGUUCUACUGCUACCAAGAUGGAUGGGGUUUAGCCUCUCACCAGAAACUACCGGGAACCGGAUAAGCGCUUUCCAGACACUGGCACGAAGGAGUACAGGACGCUGACUUAACCCUAUAACCGUGUCGGUGUCACUGAAUGCUGACGGCCAGCAGCUCAGGUAAAGCACGGAGAGCAUCAGCCUGGGUUGAAAGAGCCGGAUCCGACGGCACACUGGCUGCGAGAGACACUUCACUGACAUGAGUGCACAUCAGCUAAAGGCGACAUGCUGCCAACACGGGUCCGAAGGAGGCCACGGGGUUGUAUGAAUUUCAGACCAAGCAGAUUUCAGAGCAAGUAUUAUUACCAGAAUAAAGAAGACUAUAAUUUACGAAGAGGACAUGACCAUUCUAAAUACCCACGCACCCCACACCUGAUCUGACGGCAUCUGAAAUAAAACGGAUCCAUCUGCAAAAGAGAGACAGUAUUUCAAUACCCCUCUCUCAGCAUGGAUAGAACAAGAUCCAGACUUGAAUACUAUCAACCGACGUGGUCGACCGACCCUGUAAAGGACUCCCCUCGACAGCAGCACAAAAUGAGCUCCCACUGUGGCUCAGCAGGUUAAGAACCUGACUCAUCUCCCUGAGGACGCAGGUUCAGUCCGGGGCCUCCCUCAGUGGGUUAGGGAUCCAGCGCUGCUGCAGGCCCCUGCCGCAGAUGUGGCUUGGAACUGGCACUGCGGUGGCUGCGGUGCAGGCCGGCAGCGGCAGCUCCACGCUGAUCCCACGCCUGGGAACUGCCAUGUGCGGCAGGUACAACCAUACAAGAAAAAGAGCCCCAAACGAGCUAGUUUCAAGUAACAUGGGACACUUACCAAGACAGACCACACUGCCGGAGACAGAAGGAGGCACAAAAACUAAGUCAGGAGAAUUCCAGGCGACACAAAGUGUAUUCUCAGACCACUAGUGACAGAAAGAUCUGACCAGAAAUCCCCAAACAUUUAGAAACUAAGUAUCGCAUUUCCAAAAGCCAACUCAGGGGAGAAAGAAGAGGUCAAAGGGAAACUAGGGGGACUCUGAAUGGAAUGAGAAUGAAAGCACAACGUACCCGCGUGUGUGCCCGCGUGUGUGGGCUGCCGCUGCGGCGGCAGAGCUGGGGGCUUAUGGCCGUCAACGCCCACAGGAGCGAAAGAAGGAAGGUCCGCCACGGGGCUCAGCUCCCACAAGAAACUAGACAAAGAAGAGAGAAGGAGACCCAUGUCAGCGGAACAUCUGGCCAGAGGACAGGCGAACAGCAGAGCAGAGCCAGUGAAGCCAGACGAGCAGAUUAAACCUCUGGCCGGACUGCUCAGGAAGAAGCCCCAGGUUCUCACCAUCCAGACGGCAUCACCAGAGUCUGGAAAUGGUGAAGGGUAAAAGUGCCUGUGCGUUUGGUAGCUUAGAAAAAACGCACAAGAUACGGUGUGGACGAGCCUUGAGGACAUGGUGCUAAGUGAAACAAGCCCAUCGCAGAACGGCAAACACUGCGUGAUUCCACUCCUGCGCGGCGCUCCGAGUCGUCAAAAUCUCGAAGACAGAAACAGAAGGGUGUCUGCCAGGGGCUGGGGAGUUGGGUUUAAUGGCUAUGGAGGUGCGGUUCUGUAAGACACCAGGAGUUAUGGGGGUGGACGGUGGCAAGGGUUGCACACAAUGAGAAUGCAUUUCAUACCCCUGAACCAUACGCUUAAAAAUGGUCACGAGGGAAACAUUUCUGUCGUAUUUUAUCUCAGUUAAAAAAGAAAGAGGAGUUCCCGUCGUGGCGCAGUGGUUAACGAAUCCGACUAGGAACCAUGAGGUUGCGGGUUCGGUCCCUGCCCUUGCUCAGUGGCUUGACAACCUGGCGUUGCCGUGAGCUAUGGUGUAGGUCGCAGACGCGGCUCGGAUCCCGCGUUGCUGUGGCUCUGGCAUAGGCCGGUGGCUACAGCUCCGAUUCAACCCCUAGCCUGGGAACCUCCACAUGCCGCGGGAGUGGCCC